CCAGUUACAUAUGGAUCACGUGAAUCUAUGUUAUAUGAAGCAUUGCAUGCUGGGGCAGCAGCACCAUCAUAUUUGCAGGAUUGCUCUGUGAUAGUCGUGUUGUUUUGGUACUUGCAGGUUUAUAUGUUUUUUUUGUGUAAAGCAUUAAACUCUUAAUAGAGAAGUAAUAUAUAGAGAUGGGAAAAGACAAAAAGAACGUUGUACGUAUAUUAACUGAAAUCAAACUGUAUUGUUAAAGGUGGUUAUGUGAAAAUUAAUAAAUGUAUUUAUUGAUUUCGGCACAUCUGUUCCUUCACAUUAUUUUACAGUUGAAGAGGCUAGUUCAUCCAAAAGUAGGACUAACAAACACUAACAAAUUCUGUGUGCAAAAAUGGAGAUUGUUAAAGAAGACAGUGAAGACAUGAGCGAUUCAGACCCAUGCAAAUUGAAAAAUGAAGAUACCGAGGAACAAACAGGAUGUGUGGAAUGUGUGUGGGGGAGCAGCCUUGUUUGCAGAGAUAAGAGGAGGUCGCUGAAGAGCAGUUGGAGCCUCAGAGUAUGUGGAUGUAGAUAACAAACUGAAAUGUAGAAACAAAGCAAGAUGGAAUGUGCACGCACACACAUAGCAAUAGCAGACCACUUAGAAAAGACAGAUGUUGGGCAGAAAUUGGGUGUGGGUCUUGUCAUGUGAUGUUUUGCAGGAAUUAGGAGAAACAAAGGAGUGAAAGCUGAUUGGACAAGCACCAGGCGAACACCACGCCCAGCAGAAAGAAGAGACACGUCGACAAAUAGUAUAAAUAUGUUGUAAAACUGUUUUUCUUGGUUGUUGGUGUUGGACUUUAAAAAAUUUCCUGCAUGUCCAAAAAUUGGAGAGAGGCAAUUCCUAAUCAAACUGAGGUUUAUUAAUCAGAUUAACAAAAAUACAGCGCGCUGGGUUGCUGGACAACAAUCCUCUGUCCUUCCAAGGAACAACAACCCCCACAGCACAUAUUCACAGCAUUUAUUGUUAGUUCACGCCGAUCUCUCUUCUGCCGGGGGGCCAGGAUCCCCCUUGCCUUCACCAAUCACCAACUUCUGCCUUAUCUCGUUCCUGUAAAACACUUCUGAAACAACAUUCCAAAUACCUCCCCCAAGCCCCUAAACAACUGCAGCCGAAGAUGCCUUUUCACCCCCACAAACUCACAUUCCUUUGUUGCAAGCACUUCAAUAUCAGCACAUAGCUUGGGUAUCAAAUGUAUGCAUGUAUGCACAUAAUGUGUGUGCCUUAAUGAAAAUGUUUAAGCAGAAGCUGUGAGGGGUUUCUGUACUGAGAUUGAAAGUGCCUGCUACAGGAAUGUGAGUGGGGGUGAUAAAGGAAGUAGCUGAAAGGCAGUUAAAGACUCAGGAUAUACCUGGUGGGGCUGAAAGAUGAAAGUGAUGAACUGAAGGGACUGGAGGAGACACAUCAGUAUCAGAAAGAUCAUAAUUUCAAAAUGGAAGAAAUAUCAUCCGAUUGCUCACAGAUGACAAAUACAGAGCAAAGGACGAAAGCAAGAACAUCGUUUACUUGCCCUCAUUGUGAAGAUGUUUUUGCAUUGAAAAGUGACUUUGAUUUGCAUCUAAGAAUCCAUAAUGGAGAAAAGAUGUUCAUGCCCUCAUUGUGAAGAGGGCUUUGCUUUGAAAACAGACUUUGAGCUGCACAUAAGAGUCCACACUGGAGAAAAGAUUUUCACCUGCCCUCAGUGUGGAGAACAUUUCUUGUACAAAGGACAUCUCGCGCGUCACAUAAGAACUCACAUUAAAGGAGGACGCCUAUACCCGUGUGUUCAGUGUGGAAAGAGCUUUAAGCAGAGUGAUCCGCUUCAUGUCCACAUGAAAAUUCACUCAGGAAAGCGCCCAUUCCCGUGUCCUCAGUGUGGAAAGAGUUUUAUACAAAGUGAUGCACUUAAAAACCACAUGAGAGUUCACACCGGAGAGCGCCCGUUCCCGUGUCCUCAGUGUGGAAAGAGUUUUAGUGAGAAUGGUGCGCUUAAUGAACACAUGAAAAUUCACACCGGAGAGUGCCCGCACACGUGUGUUCAGUGUGGAAAGAGUUUCGUGAGAAUGAGAAAAAGAAAGCAGGCAUGAUGACAAGAAACAUUCAUGAAGAUCGUGUAAAUGCCUUAAGGAAGAACUUUUAGUGGAUGAAAAUGUUUGCUGAAAGAAAAUAAACAUUGUCAAAACUUGUCGGAGGAAGCAAAGACCUUUUUCUUUUCACUGCGAAUUGAUUGGAUGUGUAAAAGCAGCUGAUGCAUUGUUAUUGAAAGUGUAAAUUUGCAGCAGACUGACAGUGGAAGGGGAGGAGUCAACGAAUGCUACGAUGGUACAUGAAUAAAAAAAAAUUAUAAGCUAUUUACUAUAAACGCUGCAAUAUUUCAUGAACAAAAAGAAUUGUCAUAUUUUAUUUCAAUGGGACUUUAACUAUUUUUAGCCAGAGAUAUGAUACCAAAGUCUGUUUAUGGACGCCGUGCCACUUGUCGGCCAUGUUUUUAACGGCUCUGGGCAGUUAAUAGCAAGUCAACAGUGCUUGCAAAGGGGAAGGCAGAUAUUUUAUUAUUCGCUGGCAAAAAUCACAAUUAAACGCCAUCAAUCAAUAACUAAACCUGACAUGAACUGUACCAUAACUUGGGUUUGAUGAGCUUAAAUUGAGCUUACAUUUUCGAGAUGGCUUCAUCUACUGUGCAUGCGCACAGGCUGGCAAGCGCCUCACAAGAGCCCCGCCCCAGAAUAUGGUCAGUCAAUUCUGAUUGACGAUUGGCUCGUUUCACUGGGAGGCGGGACUUCCUUCGCUUGAGUGGCACCAUUGAGCGUUGCAUUCCCCCCGAUUUAUUGUAAUGGCAGUGGCAAAUCUUGUUAAUAUUAAUAUCUUAUACGAUACUGAAGAACAACAUGACCUUAACCAUCUGCUAAUGGAAAUAUUCAACUGCACCAUUACAGUAUUACUAUAUAAAAUGCUGUAAUAUACUAUUUUACACUCAUCUCUGCAUGUCAUUUCGUCAAAGCACAAGAUGUUACUAUGGCCUUAGUUUGCUAUGUCGCAAACAAGACACGCCCCCUCAUACCCAUAUGGACUCAGAAAUGUAGAAAUAAAUAAAUGUCAAAAGACAGAAAUACAUAUAUUUUAACAUAAAUGCAUAAAAGAAAUACAAAUUGUACAAAUGAAUACAUGUUAGAAUAAAUAAAUAACAAUAUGAAAUUGUUCAUUAAUUUUUAUAUUUUUAGAAAAUUAAUUUCUGUAUGUAUUUAUUUAUUUUCGCUUUUUUUACAUAUCUUAAUGGUUAACUUUUAUUUUAUUUUAAGUUUUGGCAGUACUGGAAUUCCAUAUCAUAAACCUAAAACAAAGUUACUUACAAAAUAAGCCUUUCUAUGCCAUUCAUACCAGAACUACUUGUAUCUUUGUUGUUCAAUGUGACCAUGCUUGUAAAAACCCAGCUAAUGUCUAUUUACUGUUUUCUGCACAAAAUCAUCCGUCAGAGUAUCCUGUGAAAAUAUAAUGACAGUAUCUUCCAUAUUGACUGAAUAAUACCAUUUUAAAGAUUGAAAUUAAUCGUUGAUUAUCUAAUAAUUCAUUCAAUUAUAAUACUUUAGUCUGGGUUUUCACAGGGUCACAAAUGUUUUCAUGCUGAUCAAUAAUUCCAAUGCUAAAUGUAGAUAAACAUGUAGAUAUGUUAUGGUUCAUAAAAUAUCACAGAUCUGGUUAAAGGUUGGAGACAUACUAAGUCCAGUUUUUAAGAGUCUACAAGUGGAGCCCCUGGAUCAGUCCUCAGACAAUGUUUGCAAAUAUUGUUAAAGUGAAUGUUCUCUGUCUUUGUCAGAAUGCAUAUUUUACAUUUUCUAAUGGGGAAAUUAUGCAGAUGUUAAGGCUUUUUUAAAUAAAAGGCAAGUUUAACUUU